rnacentral:misc_RNA from 1 species
AAAGUCGUAACAAGGUUUCCGUAGGUGAACCUGCGGAAGGAUCAUUAAAAGUAAUCAGUACUCUGUACUCAUUAUAAACCCAUCUGUGUAUCUUACCCGUUGCUUCCGUGGGGAGUGGCUCCGGUCACUGCUAACUCCACGGGAGGUAUACAUCAAACCAUUGCAUUGCCAUGAUCUCAGUCUGAAAUGUAAAAAACAAAAGUUAAAACUUUCAACAACGGAUCUCUUGGUUCUC